GUAUGCAGACUCUAUGUGGGCCUACUUUUUAUCACUGUCUGUGGAAGGGUUAUGUCUGGAUGUGUGUGCAAGUGUCUUGUUAUAUGCAUUUACUUAUUGAAUAAAUCUUACUGGGCUCUUUAUUGAUACUCACCCUAUGAAGAACCUUCUGGUAAAAUCUGAGAGGGGUGAAGAGCACAGAAAUUAGAACUCAACAGAAGCAAUGUAACUCCAUGUUACCCAAGGGUUGCUGGAACUGGCAGGAUUUGUGGGGAGGUUUGGUUUCUUCCUAACAUUAAAAAAUUAUUCUCUAUUACACUUGGGUUGACAUCUAUCCAGAACUGGAAGCUUCUAUGUAUCUGAGCUUCCCUCCUCCACCCCACAACAGAACUCCACUGGCAUCACUUCAGCCUCUGCUUCAGGGUUGAGCAGAGUAGAAUCUCAACACAUUUCAAUUCCAGUUCAAGAAUCAUGCAGAAUGCUUUCCUGGGAGAGGUUCUAAUUGUCCAAGUUAUCUCCAUUUGCAGAAUCCCAUAAAAAUCUAGCAUUGCUGAUCUGGAUAGCAUGAGAUGCAGGUAAGAACCUGAAGCUAAACAGCUUUGCUUCAGUGACAGAAAAUUCAUGUUUGCUCAAAGUACGUACACAUGCAUACACAAACAUACACACAAUGGAUUUUUCCGUAGGUCUCAUUGAGGUCUCUUUUCAUUAGCUGGAAGGUUUAAUCACUAUCUUUGAUCAUUAAUUACAUCCCUGAAACAAAUCAAAGUGCAGACAGUAAAAGGAUUUCACAUUUUGAGUUCCCAUAGUCACCACUCCACUAAAAGGAUUCAAGACUCAUCCAUCUAUAUAAAGGUGAGAUUCAAUUCACUUUUUAUAGAAAAAUAUAAAAUUUGGUGGUCAUUUCUAAUGUUAUUAUCUCUGUCAAUAGAACUGAAGUCUUCAAUGUAACUAGGCCCCACGUAUCUGCUGACAACUGCCAAAGUCUCAGCUGUGGCUCCAUUUUGACCUAUUCUACCUUUUCACAAAAGAAAAACAGCCCCAGAGAAUCACCCGUCACUUUCUUUUCUGUAAGAACUACUACCCAU
rnacentral:lncRNA from 1 species